AUGGCAUCGGGCGCAACUUGCGUUCAAAGACUCGAUGGUUCACGGGAUUCUGCAAUUCACACCAAGUAUCGCAUUUCGCUACGUUCUUCAUCGAUGCAAGAGCCUAGAUAUCCGUUGCCGAGAGUCAUUCUAUAUCAUGUGUCAAAACACAACCCGCACGAAAACCGUCUCCGGUGCCAUGCAGGUGCGCUCAGAGCAAAAUUUAAAUUCCUUGACGCUUUCAGCGCCGGGGGUUUGAGUUUUGGUGCGGAGGAGAACGCACUUCGUCGUCCGCCUCCGAACCAAAGGUCAGCCGAGGUUCACCUACGGAAACCUUGUUACGACUUCUCCUUCCUCUAA